AACGUUGAAACGUUUCCGCCAGGCGGCGUUGUCGUUGAACCGCUUUCUUGCUUGCUUGCCUAUCAAGAAACGUGUCAUUCUUGCUUAGCUUGAAAUUGGACACUUAGAAAUAACUUGUUACAAAUUCAGAGGCUGUGUGCAAUUACAUCAACAAUUUUCGGUGCCUCUUCAUCUGCUUCACUUAGUUCACAUUUUGUCAAAGACAUCACUAGUAGUCUUUCAUGGAAACUGUUUGUUCAAUGUACGAGGAUAAAAUUCGAAAGCUAUCUCUUCUGAAGCUUCACGGUCAGCAAAUUUUUUUUAUUAUCAAUGCAUAGCACUACGAGUAAUCAAAAUGUGGUUAUCUUUUAAUCUUUUAUUAUGAUCAAUGCUUUAACAAUUAUUUUAAAAGAUAAUUUUGUAAAAACUAGUUUCAUUUCAGUCCUUCAAAUAUCAAGUAUUUAUAAAAUGUAUUGUGAAAGUGGCCAAUGAUGUAUUAAAAUAUAGCCGACAUCGGCUGAUUAGAGGUUCAUAUAAAAUGACGUAUCCUAAUAUUUGUGUCUGAGGCCUCUUAAUAUAUUUCACUUUUUUAAUAAUUUCUUUUUAUCUAUUUGAUAAGUUAGAAUUUAAUAUUUAAAGUUAAUUAAAUAAAAUAUCACAAGUUUGUGUUCAUAUCUUUGCAAAUGUAAUUAUAAAUUUAUUGACUGAGAUGUUUCACUUUUAUUUUGUUUAAAAAUUUUGCAAAUAUUAUUUAAUCAUGUCAAUUUAGAAAGUCUAGUGAAUGAAAUUUGUUUAGAUUUAUACAUUUUUGUGUUAAAAUUGAAUUUUCCUUCUACUAAUACCGUCCUAAUGUUGAGCAAAAGUCUACAAUGUUAUAAUUUUUUUUAAUAAGAAUAGUGUUUAUUAAUUUUAAAUAAAUUUGAUCCUACUUUCAAAUUUAAUUUGACUAGAACUGAAAAUGUUGUUUAUACAUUCACUAAGAAAUUUUACAUAUUUGUACAUAAAAACUGUAUCUAAUAGCUCCUCAUAAAAUGUUUUAGAAUAAUUUAUUUUUGUCUCAUUCUUGUAAUUUAAUUACAGUUUAUUUUUUAUUUUUGUUUUGGAAGUCUUGAAUUCAAUCAAAUGUUUAUCCUUUUAUUUCGUUUAUCAAUAAUACAUUUUUAUAGUGUUGCUUUGUUUCAUUAGUUUUGUCGUAGUGUUGAGAUUACAUGACAACAACAUGACGCCUAUGUAAUAUCUUAAUCAUAUCUAAGACCCAUACCUAUUAUUUUAUCGAAGACAAUGUAACCCAAUUCAUAUUUCUUUUGAACCAGCCAAAGGUAUAAUAUAGGUAAGAUCCAAGUGCUAUAUCUAAUAAAAUAAAAUUUAUUAAAUUUUUUUAUUAUAUAAAACUGGCCUAAGAAAAACAUAAGGACUUUUUUUCUUCAGUGCUAUAUCUAAUAAAAUAACCUAAGAAAAACAUAAGGACUUUUUUUCUUUAGAUUUACACUUUAUUUAUUUUAGGCGAUGUAAUUGCCUUGGACGUUAGAGUAUUAAUAUUGUGAUAAUUUAUUAUUUUUGAGAUAUUUAAGUCUUUAAUAGUUGAUUUAUUUGGUAAUGAUACAGUUAAUUAGGAUUAUUUAUAUAUGUUUUAAUGACUUUAGCUUAGUUUAGUAUUGAGCACACUAGGUGCUCUCUUUUGUAGUUUUACGUGUACUUGUGUAUGUGUAGAAGAGUUACUUUGGAGAUAAGUUAUAUCGUGCCAGGAAUAUAUUACCACUCCGCAUCAAUCCUUCGAGCCAUAAGACUCUGGAAAGAGUGAUUGAUCUCAGUCUUGGGGCACACAGUGCAGACUUGUGAGAAAAGAAAGAAGGAAAUGAGAUAUAUAGUCUAAAAGAUAAGGAUGACUACUACAAGACAAAAGUUUGAAAAGUUGUUUUGGCAUUCCAAUGGUGCUUCUGUGUAAUCUCUACACAACAUGCUUGAUAAUAGACGAGUUGUCUCAGACAUGUGUUGUGUACUACUCAUAGUACCGGUACGAGAGGAUAUGAGAAAGAAAAUAUUAUGAAUUUCAUGUGUCAAAUUAAUGGAUACUCAAAGGCUCAAGAUCCAAAAUCUUAAGAAAACCCUAAAUUUACAGAGUCGUUAAAAGGACCAUCUUGGAGAAAGGAGAAGAGGUUCAGAAGUUGAGAAAAACUUGAGAAAAUUCAUAUAAAUGAUUCACUUGGAGAAGAAUAAGCUUGAACCAGAUUUUGAGGAAUUUUCUACCUUUACAUUUCUUGAAGAAUAUUGUUCUAUCAUGCAUGACAUAACUCAUCUCUUAUUGAUUGAAGAUUUCAAGAAGUAGAAGUGUCAGUCUUAGAUUUAUAUUUUCAUAUCAUUCGUGUUUAAAAAUGUUAACCUUAAG
rnacentral:lncRNA from 1 species